rnacentral:rRNA from 1 species
AGACCGUCGUGAGCCAGUUCGGUCUCUAUCUCUCGGGGGCGCAGGAGGUUUGAGCGGAGCCGCCACUAGUACGAGAGGACCGUGGUGGACAGACCUCCGGUGAGCCGGUUGUGGCGCCAGCCGCACGGCCGGGUAUCCGUGUCUGGCAGGGAUAAGCGCUGAAGGCAUCUAAGCGCGAAGCCCCCCGCGAGAUGAGAGCUCCCUGAGGGCCGUCGGAGACGACGACGUUGAUAGGGCGCAGGUGUAAAGACGGCGACGUCAAAGCCGAGCGCUACUAAUUGCCCGAGCACUUCCCGCCU